rnacentral:rRNA from 1 species
CUCGUAAGAGGAUGUAUAGGGUGUGACGCCUGCCCGGUGCUCGAAGGUUAAUUGAUGGGGUUAGCAUUAGCGAAGCUCUUGAUCGAAGCCCGAGUAAACGGCGGCCGUAACUAUAACGGUCCUAAGGUAGCGAAAUUCCUUGUCGGUUAAAUACCGACCUGCAUGAAUGGCGUAACGAGAUGGGAGCUGUCUCAAAGAGGGAUCCAGUGAAAUUGUAGUGGAGGUGAAAAUUCCUCCUACCCGCGGCAAGACGGAAAGACCCCGUGGACCUUUACUACAGCUUGACACUGCUACUUGGAUAAGAAUGUGCAGGAUAGGUGGGAGGCUUUGAGUAUAUGACGCCAGUUGUAUAUGAGCCAUUGUUGAGAUACCACUCUUUCUUAUUUGGGUAGCUAACCAGCUUGAGUUAUCCUCAAGUGGGACAAUGUCUGGUGGGUAGUUUGACUGGGGCGGUCGCCUCCCAAAUAAUAACGGAGGCUUACAAAGGUUGGCUCAGAACGGUUGGAAAUCGUUCGUAGAGUAUAAAGGUAUAAGCCAGCUUAACUGCAAGACAUACAAGUCAAGCAGAGACGAAAGUCGGUCUUAGUGAUCCGGUGGUUCUGUGUGGAAGGGCCAUCGCUCAAAGGAUAAAAGGUACCCCGGGGAUAACAGGCUGAUCUCCCCCAAGAGCUCACAUCGACGGGGAGGUUUGGCACCUCGAUGUCGGCUCAUCGCAUCCUGGGGCU